UCGAGAAUUUUUCACAAUGGGGGAAACCCUGAUGGAGCGACGCCGCGUGGAGGAUGAAGGCCUUCGGGUUGUAAACUCCUGUCAUGCGGGAACAAGAAAGUGAUAGUACCGCAAGAGGAAGAGACGGCUAACUCUGUGGCAGCAGCCGCGGUAAUACAGAGGUCUCAAGCGUUGUUCGGAUUCAUUGGGCGUAAAGGGUGCGUAGGUGGCGAUGUAAGUCUGGUGUGAAAUCUCAGGGCUCAACCUUGAAAUUGCACCGGAUACUGCGUUGCUUGAGGAUUGUAGAGGAGAGUGGAAUUCACGGUGUAGCAGUGAAAUGCGUAGAUAUCGGGAGGAAGACCAGUUGCGAAGGCGACUCUCUGGGCAACUCCUGACACUGAGGCACGAAGGCUAGGGGAGCAAACG
rnacentral:rRNA from 1 species